GGGGAUAUAGCUCAGUUGGUAGAGUGCUUGCCUCUCAUGCACAAAGCCCCGAGUUCAAUACCCAGCACCCCCC
rfam:Ictidomys tridecemlineatus contig024677, whole genome shotgun sequence.